rnacentral:rRNA from 1 species
AUGGGGGAGGCCGUCGCGGUGGUGGGGCUAGACUUUGCGGCCUGCAACGAGGCGGCCGUCGAUGCCGCGGUGGAGGCGGCGUGGUGCUGCUUUGGCCACGACAGGCUCAAUACCCUGGUUAACUGCUGCUCCUAUGAAGGGGAAGUGCAAGACUGCCUCAGUGUAACUGAAGAUGAGUACUCACACACCUUGGCUGCUAAUAAAGGCGAUGGCGAAGUGGUUCUGGGAUACGCAGUCCGGCGGUUCCAUGGUAUGCUUGAUCCAGAUCACCGGCGCCGAGAGAGGAUUCUACCCAAGGGUUGUGGCAUACUGCACGAGCUUAGGCGUUGUUCAUCAGCUCGUCAGAGUAAGCCUACCUUCCUGUUACAAAGAGGCAUGAAUGCUCACAGAAAUCCUGAAUGUCUACAUGUUCAUUGA